rnacentral:rRNA from 1 species
AGUGGCGGACGGGUGAGUAACACGUAAGAAUUUGCCUUUAGGAGGGGGACGACAACUGGAAACGGUUGCUAAUACCCCAUAUGCUUUCGAGUGAAACGGAUUUUUCCGCCUAAAGAGAAGCUUGCGGCUGAUUAGCUUGUUGGUGAGGUAAUGGCUCACCAAGGCGACGAUCAGUAUCUGGUUUGAGAGGACGAUCAGACACACUGGAACUGAGACACGGUCCAGACUCCUACGGGAGGCAGCAGUGGGGAAUUUUCCGCAAUGGGCGAAAGCCUGACGGAGCAAUACCGCGUGAGGGAUGACGGCCUAUGGGUUGUAAACCUCUUUUUUCAGGGAGGAAUCAAAUGACGUGUACCUGAAGAAUAAGCAUCGGCUAACUCCGUGCCAGCAGCCGCGGUAAGACGGGGGAUGCAAGUGUUAUCCGGAAUCACUGGGCGUAAAGCGUCUGUAGGUGGUCAAAUAAGUCAACUGUUAAAUCUUGAGGCUCAACCUCAAAAUCGCAGUCGAAACUAUUAGACUAGAGUAUAGUAGGGGUAAAGGGAAUUUCCAGUGGAGCGGUGAAAUGCGUAGAGAUUGGAAAGAACACCGAUGGCAAAGGCACUUUACUGGGCUAUUACUAACACUCAGAGACGAAAGCUAGGGUAGCAAAUGGGAUUAGAUACCCCAGUAGUCCUAGCCGUAAACAAUGGAUACUAGAUGU